rnacentral:rRNA from 1 species
UACGUAGGCAGCAAGCGUUGUUCGGAGUUACUGGGCGUAAAGGGUGUGUAGGCGGUGCUCUAAGUUCGGUGUGAAAUCUCCCGGCUCAACCGGGAGGGUGCGCCGAAUACUGGAGUGCUCGAGCGCGGGAGAGGAAAGCGGAAUUCCUGGUGUAGCGGUGAAAUGCGUAGAUAUCAGGAGGAACACCGGUGGUGAAGGCGGCUUUCUGGACCGCUGCUGACGCUGAGACACGAAAGCGUGGGGAGCAAACAGG